CUGAGAUUACUGAUCCAACACGAAGUAAGACUUUUGUGACUUGUGAAAUGUGAAUGGUGUUCCCAAAGGAUCGCAUCAAUGUCCAGGACCACCAGCAAUGUAUGUGUGCACCAGUUCUGGCACAUCUGCUCCAGACACGUGACAAUUCAGGAGUUAAAAAUCUCUUUGCGUUGCUGUUUUCAGUCAUGUUUCAGUGAUUGACACCCCGAUAGCCUUCAUUUCUAAGGUAGGGGAUAUUUUCUCUGAGAAAUUGUCACCUUCAUACAAAGUCUCAAGAGAGUAAGUUACCAGAAUUAAGAUGACAUAUUUGGAUCUUAGAUUCACAGUGAUUUGUGAGUUUUUCACUUAUACUUCUCAGACACAAUUCAGCCCAGAUCAUGUGGAAAGACAUGUUUGGAAAGAGGAAAACAGCUGGGAUAAAAUCUUUAUUUUGACAGGCAAAAUAAAAUGGUGCUAAUGUCCAAACACGUCUGGACUGUUAAUGCUUCUAAAAAUGGUCUCCACUUUAGGAAAUGAUAUACAUUUUUACACUAAAGGAAAUAAAUAUUUUCUCAUAGUCAAACUUAAUGUCAUUAACUAGACAAGUGAAGAGGGUCAUAGAUCUUUCUGUAGUUUAUACUAUAGCUUUGCUUAAUAAGACUUAGAGAUAGCAACUUGAACUUAAUCACAUAUUAUAGUUUUUUUUUUUUUUUUUUGCAGGAAAUUUCUUUUAGAAUGUAAUAAAUGCUUAAAGAAGAAUUAUACUGUGAGUAGAACAGCAUGCAGCCUGGCACUUAGCAAGUGAUCGAGAAAUAAUUCAUGAGUGAAUGAAUGAACAGAUGACAGAUGUAACCAAAAAUCAAAACUAAAAUCACUUCUGAAGUCGAGGAUGCACUUCUCAGCAUUUUUCUCAUCUGGAUUUAACAUAGAUCUGUUCUCACACAAACAUCUGUGGAAUGAGCCUGGACAUUGCUACGGAGGGCUGGUUAGAGGAGGAGGAAAGAAAGAAUAAUGGCUAAUCAUUAAGUUGCAGUGUGGGUGUUUGGUUGGGAAGAACCAGCUGGCGGAGGAAUGGAUACUACCUCUGACUCAGAGACAUGGGCAGUGACCCCUAUUGUCUGGCCAAGAAGGAGUCACAUGUCUUUGGUGACUUCUUUGUUUACACUCAGAGUUUAACUAUGAGGCAGAAAUGGUUUCUUUGCCAAAGUCUACAUUUGAUGAAACAUGGCUAAUUUUAAUUUUAGAGCUGAGCUUGGACCUUUCUUCUAGUCAUUGCUCCAAAGUGGUGCUUACGGGAAAGGAGAGUAUUCUUCAUGAUCAGCUCUGUCUUACAUUCAAGUGCAGUCAGGCACGGAGGGACUAGAGCAUCGGCCCUAGGCCACAGCUGGAAAGUCCUCUGCGUUGCUCAACAGGGGUCACAAAGCAAACUGAGAUCAUACGUGGGCAAAGGAAAAAAGAGAAGGCAAAACAUUCAAAAUCUCAAACAUUUGAAACCAGAUUUCAGUUGAAAUAUAUAAGUUAAUCAGUAUCAAGCAAAAAUGUCAGUCCCCAGAAAGCCAGUCUCUCCUUCACAUUUAUGUAAAUACAGUUUGGGUUCUGAUAUCAUUGGCUGCUGAAUUUAAUAUUGAGACAAAGUGUAGUAGAGUAAAAGGCCUCCCAAAGCCACUUAUUCCACUCAUUCAGUCAAAAGAAAUUUACUAAAUGCUUUCCUUGUGAGCAACGCACUAAGCCAAGUUAUGGCACUUCACUCUGUCAGCUUUCAAACGCACCAUCCUAACACCAUCACCAUAAACAACAUCAUCACCAGAACCAUCAUCAUCACCAUCAUUAUCACCACUGUCAUAAUAACCAAUACCAUUCCCAUUACCCAACACCCCCAUCACCAUCACCAUUCCCAUCCCAGCACCUUCAUUAUCACCAUCCCCAUCCCCAUCUUAUCACCAUCAUCGUCACCAUCAUCAUCUCCAACACCAUCCCCAUCACUGACACUAUCAUAAUCACCAUAAUCAUCCCCAUUCCAACACUAUCAUCACCAUCAUCAAUACCAUCACCAACACUGCCCUCAUCUCAACACUAUCACUAUCCUAACCCCACCACUAUUCCAACUCAAUCACUAUCACCACCACCAACACCAUCCCCAUUCCAACACUAUCAUCACCAUCACUACCAUCACCAACACUGCCCUCAUCUCAACACUAUCACUAUCCUAACCCCACCACUAUUCCAACUCAAUCACUAUCACCACCACCAACACCAUCCCCAUUCCGACACUAUCAUCACCAUCACUACCAUCACCAACACUGUCCUCAUCUCAACACUAUCACUAUCCUAACCCCACCACUAUUCCAACUCGAUCACUAUCACCACCACCAACACCAUCCCCAUUCCAACACCAUCUUCAUCACCAACACUAUCAUCACCAUCACUAUCAUCAACACCAUCGUCAUUACCGUCACCAUCACCAUCACAAUCAUAUCAACACCAUCUCUGUCCAACACUACCAUCAUCACCAACGCCAUUCUCCUUUGGAACUCUAGGCUUUCUUCGUACAUUAGCUCAUUGAUUUUGGCCCUAUGUGGUAGAUAUUAUGGUCCUCAUUUGUUUUUGAUAGAAAUGGAGCCUCAGAACAGUGACAUUACUUGCCUGAGCCACAUGCUAAUAAAUGGCAAAACUAUAUCCAUUUUCUACUUCCUCAGAUUCUCAGUUUUCUGUGGGAUGUAUCAGGAGACCACACCACAUUAAUCAUGAAGAUAAAAAUGACCUUCAUAGUAAUGUAUUAUGUUCAUAUCAGUGCUGAAAUGUUUUGAAGCACCUUUAAAUUUAUUACAUCAUUUAAGCUUAUAGUAAUCCCUGUAGAAUGACAAGAAUGUGUUAUUAUGGUCAAAUUUAAAGCAUAUUUUGUUAAAUAUCUCAUUUCCAAAAUGAACUUGCAGUAAAUUAAGUAUCUGGUAACACAUUUCCAAAAUUAAUCAUUGUCGUCUGAUGACACAGAAGUUAUUCCAGGGCUAUUGGUCAAUUCUGGGUCAGUUUCCUCAUGGAAACUGCAUCUGAAAAGCUAAACUGGAAGGUACCUGUAUUCAAAAUGGCUAAAGGACUGAUUAGGAUUAGGAUUGAUUCCUAAAUUAGCAAUGACAUUUUUUCCCACAAAGGAUUAUGCUUGGGGUUCCUGAAUAACUGAUUCCAUCAAUCAUUGAUUAACCUCCUCCUACGUGCCUGGUGUUGGGCUGAACUCUGCGGAUACAAGAGGAGUAAGACACAGGUCCCGGCCUUGAGAGCUUACCAUCCUGUGUGAGAGGCAGACACACAAGGAGAAAUGUUCAAUGCAGUGACCUGGCUGUGAUAGUCGCAUCCCAAGUGCUCUACGGGGACAGAGGAGAGGCCCUGAGCUCGCCCA
rnacentral:lncRNA from 1 species